rnacentral:rRNA from 1 species
UACGAAGGGUGCGAGCGUUGUCCGGAAUUAUUGGGCGUAAAGAGCUCGUAGGCGGUGUGUCGCGUCGGCCGUGAAAACCUGCAGCUUAACUGUGGGCUUGCGGUCGAUACGGGCAUCACUGGAGUUCGGCAGGGGAGACUGGAAUUCCUGGUGUAGCGGUGAAAUGCGCAGAUAUCAGGAGGAACACCGGUGGCGAAGGCGGGUCUCUGGGCCGAUACUGACGCUGAGGAGCGAAAGCGUGGGGAGCGAACAGG